UGCUGGCAACAGCGAUAAGGGGACCUCGAGUGCCACGAUACAAUCGUGGCUGUCUAGUUGCCUAAAAAGCAAUUGAUAGCAAGGGCCGGGCAAGACCGGUGCCAGCCGCCGCGGUAACACCGGCGGCUCGAGUGGUAACCGCUAUUAUUUGGUCUAAAGGGUCUGUAGCCGGCUUAGUCAGUCUUUUGAGAAAUCUGGCCGCUCAACGGUCAGGCGUCCAGGGGAUACUGCUAAAGCUCGAGACCGGGAGAGGUGAGAGGUACUUCAGGGGUAGGGGUGAAAUCUUGUAAUCCUUGAAGGACCACCAGUGGCGAAGGCGUCUCACCAGAACGGAUCUGACGGCAAGGGACGAAAGCUAGGGGCACGAACCGGAUUAGAUACCCGGGUAGUCCUAGCCGGAAACGAUACUCGCUAGGUGUCGGCCACGGUGCGACCGUGGUCGGUGCCGUAGGGAAGCCGUGAAGCGAGCCACCUGGGAAGUACGGCCGCAAGGCUGAAACUUAAAGGAAUUGGCGGGGGAGCACUACAACGGGUGGAGCUUGCGGUUUAAUUGGAUUCAACGCCGGAAAUCUUACCGGGGCCGACAGCGAUAUGAAGGCCAGGCUAAGGACCUUGCCCGAUUAGCUGAGAGGUGGUGCAUGGCCGUCGUCAGUUCGUACUGUGAAGCAUCCUGUUAAGU
rnacentral:rRNA from 1 species